AGUGAACGCUGGCGGUAGGCCUAACACAUGCAAGUCGAACGGCAGCACAGAGGAGCUUGCUCCUUGGGUGGCGAGUGGCGGACGGGUGAGGAAUACAUCGGAAUCUACUCUGUCGUGGGGGAUAACGUAGGGAAACUUACGCUAAUACCGCAUACGACCUACGGGUGAAAGCAGGGGAUCUUCGGACCUUGCGCGAUUGAAUGAGCCGAUGACGGAUUAGCUAGUUGGCGGGGUAAAGGCCCACCAAGGCGACGAUCCGUAGCUGGUCUGAGAGGAUGAUCAGCCACACCGGAACUGAGACACGGUCCAGACUCCUACGGGAGGCAGCAGUGGGGAAUAUUGGACAAUGGGCGCAAGCCUGAUCCAGCCAUACCGCGUGGGUGAAGAAGGCCUUCGGGUUGUAAAGCCCUUUUGUUGGGAAAGAAAUCCAUCUGGUUAAUACCCGGGUGGGAUGACGGUACCCAAAGAAUAAGCACCGGCUAACUUCGUGCCAGCCGCCGCAGUAA
rnacentral:rRNA from 1 species